rnacentral:rRNA from 1 species
CCUACGGGAGGCUGCAGUGGGGAAUAUUGGACAAUGGGGGCAACCCUGAUCCAGCCAUGCCGCGUGUGUGAAGAAGGCCCUCGGGUUGGAAAGCACUUUCAGUGAGGAAGAACGCCUGGUGGUUAAUACCCAUCAGGAAAGACAUCACUCACAGAAGAAGCACCGGCUAACUCCGUGCCAGCAGCCGCGGUAAUACGGAGGGUGCGAGCGUUAAUCGGAAUUACUGGGCGUAAAGCGCGCGUAGGUGGCUUGAUAAGCCGGUUGUGAAAGCCCCGGGCUCAACCUGGGAACGGCAUCCGGAACUGUCAAGCUAGAGUGCAGGAGAGGAAGGUAGAAUUCCCGGUGUAGCGGUGAAAUGCUUAGAGAUCGGGAGGAAUACCAGUGGCGAAGGCGGCCUUCUGGACUGACACUGACACUGAGGUGCGAAAGCGUGGGUAGCAAACAGGAUUAGAUACCCGGGUAGUC